GGAAAUAUGCCCGAAUUUCAAGGACUACUUUGAUAGA
rnacentral:tRNA from 1 species